ensembl:misc_RNA 7SK 7SK RNA
GGAUGUGAGGGUGAUCUGGCUGUGACAUCUAUCACCCCAUUGAUCUCCAGGGUUAAUUCAACUGAUCUGGCUGGCUAGGCAGGUGUCCCCAUCCUCUCUCACCACUCCAUGUGCAUCUCUUCAGAAGCUACACACUUGGUCUAAGGGGACGACCUUUCUUGACAGAGGAGGACCUUUCUUUGGUCAAGGGCAUACAAGUAGCUGCGUUCCCCUGUUAGAAUGUCUAAACAAGCUCUCAGGGUCCAUUUGUAGGACAAUGUAGAAUAGUGAAGCUUCCAAGACUCCAGACAUAUCUGAAUAGCAUGCUGUGUGUGGCAGUCUGCUUUUCUUU